rnacentral:rRNA from 1 species
UCGGGGAUAGCCUUUCGAAAGAAAGAUUAAUACCCGAUGGCAUAGUUCUUCCGCAUGGUGGAACUAUUAAAGAAUUUCGGUCAUCGAUGGGGAUGCGUUCCAUUAGGUUGUUGGCGGGGUAACGGCCCACCAAGCCUUCGAUGGAUAGGGGUUCUGAGAGGAAGGGUCCCCCACAUUGGAACUGAGACACGGUCCAAACUCCUACGGGAGGCAGCAUG